UGCCCCAUGGCUGAGUUGGUUACAGCGUCCGACUGUUAGUUAUUCAAUCGGAAGGUCGAGAGUUCGAGCCUCUCUGGGGCAG